AGCGAACGCUGGCGGCAGGCCUAACACAUGCAAGUCGAGCGCCGUAGCAAUACGGAGCGGCAGACGGGAGAGUAACACGAGGGAACGUGCCCUUUGGUUCGGAACAACCCAGGGAAACUUGGGCUAAUACCGGAUAAGCCCUUACGGGGAAAGAUUUAUCGCCGAAGGAUCGGCCCGCGUCUGAUUAGCUAGUUGGUGGGGUAAUGGCCCACCAAGGCGACGAUCAGUAGCUGGUCUGAGAGGAUGAUCAGCCUCACUGGGACUGAGACACGGCCCAGACUCCUACGGGAGGCAGCAGUGGGGAAUAUGGACAAUGGGCGCAAGCCUGAUCCAGCCAUGCCGCGUGGGUGAUGAAGGCCCUAGGGUUGUAAAGCCCUUUCGGCGGGGAAGAUAAUGACGGUACCCGCAGAGGAAGCCCCGGCUAACUUCGUGCCAGCCGCCGCCGUAA
rnacentral:rRNA from 1 species